AAAUUGCCUGCUGCUCUUUACAAUGCACAAAUAAGACUUGAAAAAUUAUAAUUAGACCGUAGUAAAUUCUUGGUUUCAGGAAUCUGAGUUGGCAAAAUGAAUGGUUAUCAUUAUAGGGAGUAGGGUUGAGAAAAAAAUGCAGACUAAUAAGGAUAAAUUAAACAAAGCAGCAAAGACAAACUCCAUUUCUUUCUUUUCUUUGCAUGCCCAGUUGGAAAUAAAUUAUUGUUUUGCCUCCUGGAGGGAUUAAAAUAAGAAGGAUUUCAUAAAAUCUCUCACUCACUGGUGCUCUUUUCACCUCAAAAUCUUUCUUUCUAUGCAUAAAAUUAUGUGUUGCAAACACAAAAGCUGGCUUAGAAAAUCAUUAACUUCUCUACUGUUUCCCAUCAAUGUAUAGAUCUCAAUAUCAAGAAACACUGUAUCUUGCAGUCCUACUUCACUCAGGACCAGAAAACCUGAUUCUAGCUACUGCUCACCCUGCACUCCCAAUCCCUAACAAGCUGCCAUCUCUUUCAAAGGCUUCCACAGACAUUAAAGGAGAAGAAUGCCUUCUUUUUUGUACUCAUUUGCUUUUGGGUUGUGUUGCAUUCCAUAAUAUACAUAUUUUUGACAUUAUUAAAUCUAUUUUUGUGACAAAUAUAAUAUGAACAGAAUUUUUUUUUUCUUACACUGGGGACUAUUUCAAAAUCACAUUGAAGAGAAAAUACUCCUUUGGGGAAAAAAGCCACUGAGAUCAUGCUUGAAGAUUAUUUACUAGGAUAUUCCAAUGGUGAGGCUGCAGUUAGGUAGUAAAAGAAUAGAACAAUGAAAUCAAUAGCAUUUUAUGACAGCUAUAUACAGACAAGUUCCCAGUCAGACCACUAAUGGGGCAGACUUUGCACCUUGGAAUUAAUGCAUUCAUGUUUUGCUGUCUGUAUUCUGCCUGUGUUUUAGCAAUGGAUGCUUUGCUGUGUUCUCACAGAAACUUGUAGAUUCUCUUGCUUUACAAUAUAUGUUGAACCUGUCCUACCUUGUUUCAUCAAUGAUUAUAAUAUACCACACAUAAUAUAUAAUUCAAACUCAAGACGCCCUGUCUAUUUUUAUGUACACACUAUGCUUUUUCAUCCCCUUCCCAGAGAUGUUGAGGCUGUUGACCUUAGCAAAGAUCUGUUUGAGAACAACUCCUAACCUUUUCCCUUGAUUGGGCCAUACAGAGCCUUAAUGUGAGAAAUGGAUAGCUCUCCCUUCCUGGUAAAUGACAAAACUAGACAAACUUUAGCUUCUCCCAAUACCCUGGUUUAAGAUGAGCAAAGCUUAGUCCUUCUGCAUGACAAGAAUGCUUUGUUCUCCCUUCCGAAAUGUCUUACGUGGAGAUCCAGAAAGCAGAGCACUGCACUUGGGAAAGGAGCCAGCCUAGAGAAGUUGAUGGCAGAGGAGGCAGCUAACACCUAACUGGCCUCACCAGUAAUUCCAUCCAGGCUAACUCUUUCAUCUGAUCCAGGUGACAUUUCUCAUAAUUUAUUUGCAUAGAAAUGCAGAUUCAGGGUUGAGCAACUACUCCCAACCUGAGGUCAACAAGAAAAAAAUAUCUGGAAAGCAAAAGCUUCUCACUUGCCAUUUCUGAAAUUGAACUUUUUAUUUCAUUUCUAAACAAUAUCCUAUGAAAAAAAUAUACUUUAGCUAGAAAAUGAGACAAUUGUUCCUACAGCUCUGGCAGCACCCUUUAAUGGCAAGUGACAACAAUCUCAUCUUGUCCGUGCCAAAGAGUGCAAAUUGGUGUUUAGAUACAGGCAUUUGAAACAACUACAGGCACACAGAUGCCUACAUUAACUGGGGCUUCCAGAGACAGACAAACCAAUAUCAGCUAUAAUGGAGCCAUGUCCUAGGGCACAGAUAUUAUUUUAUCCUAAUUGAAUCAAAAAGUAUCUUAGCACUUAAACCCUUCAGUAAAGAGGGAUAUAAAGGAAUUUUGAGGUAAGAUAAAAAUUAUUUCUUAAUAAGUGGAUUUUAUUGAUGAGAAGGAUUUCAUUUAAGUAUCAUGUGGCAAAUCCAAGCACUUAUGCUUUAGCACAUGCUCCACAUAAUUCCAGACAGCUUCUGCACCUUCCAUUUACUUAACUAUACUAUGAUCCUCCCUACAAAGUAGCUCUCCCAGCUUUUCCACUUAGGUAUCUUUGUGUAGCUCCUCCUAUCCCCAGCACAGUAGCUGGCAGUUAAUUCAGGGAACAAUCCUCUGGGUGACAGCUGAUAGGAAAAAGUUUUGCUAAACUAUAUUGCACAGUUUAAACUUCAUGGUUAUCAAAGCCUAAUAACAGCAUUUAGUGGAGCUCAAUGUCUAGGUGCACUUUCAGUAUUUCGUAUGUUACAGUUGAGCCAAAAGUCUCACAGUGCAUCUCAGCAAGGUCUCAAAUAGCUUGCAAUUCUACUGGCAUACUUGCAUUCAGUUCUCUGAUCUCAGUUAUUUAACAGAAAAUGGAAUCUCUUAGGGAAAGAAUAAACAUGCAAAAUGAUUAUUUCCUUUCUCACAACACAGCCAAAAUUCACUGUGAAAAAUUUGCAGUGAAAACCAGAAAUGCCUUGUCUGCCCAAGCCAAAGAGCCUUGACAUUUAUGAUCAAAGGUACGCAGAUGAAUUCAAGGACCUUCCAUAGUCCAAUAUCAAAUCAAGAACAAUGAUGAAUGUGUUUUGCUCAAAAUCAGCCAAAAUACUUAUUUUCUUUCUAUACUGAGCAUUUUUCCACAUUGAACUAAACAAACAUUUGGAACUAUUUGCUGCUUCUUUAGGAAAUUGCUUUCAAAAGUGCAAUCUAAAUUCUGAACAAUCCACACUGCCCUAAAAUAUUAAGGGUUUAAAUAUUGGUUAUGGUCCAUAUUAACAUUCUUAGACUCCUGCUGCUACAUCUAACUCCUUUGAACACAUUAUCAGAAAUGUCAACCUACAAUCUACCAUAUCAAAAUCUUCAGCUUUUUCUAAAAUAGUCCAGACUUAAAGAGAAAAUUCCUAUUGCUAAAAUUCCUAAGUCAAGUUACUCAUCUUCAUCAUCUCCCUCACUGCACGACACAGAAAGACAGCUUAUUUUAAAAGUUCAAAAUACCUUAUUUCCUGUUAUCAGGCCUAAGAAACAUCACACAGUUUUUGUCACCUUCUUUCCAGUGAAAAAAGAAGGUAUUAAAUUAAACCAAGAUUUCUCUAUAUCUACAUGGUACACUACAAGUGCAGAGCACAGCACUCAAACAAUUUGUUUAUUUAAUAGUGUUCAGAAUUUGUCAUUUCAUACUGGCAUAAAUUUAAUACAUAGGUACCAUACUGUGUACUGUGUGGAAGAUUUUCUACCUGUCAUUAAAGUGAGAAAGAAAGAUCUUCUGAAGUCACACCUUCUGUCUCAUAAAACAUUACAAGUGUUUGAGCAUUCAUCUCUAAUCCCAAAAUAACAAAAUCAGUUUGUCUUAUAUAAAAAGAAAAAAAAAAAGUUUUAAAUCAUCAUUCUUCACUUCAGGGAAAUAAGCUUUCUUCAGUUACUAUCAACAGCUCUGGUCUGUGGUUACCAACUUCAGAACAAAAUGUCAUUUUGCAAAUAAUUAUCACCACUUUAGGUAAUGCCUUUGUACUAAUACACAUCAGGCAAGAGAAAAUAAUACAAAAUGAGACCUUCAACCUUAUACAGGGUUAAGAUGUGAUUUCUAAAUACUUUUGUAUUUUAGCAAUAAAAUUUAUUUUUCUUGUGGACAUUUAAAUUUUUUUCACUGUUGAGAAAUGGAUCUUUUGUUACUUUUCCACAGUUUUGCUGCUGCAGUUGCUCUUCAUUCUCAUUCUUAAAAUUCUACUGCAAUUAUUUUUCAAAUUAUUAUCCUUCUAACCAUGUCCCUCGAUUUGUUCUGUUUUUAGGGUAACUAACAGAGCAAAUAAUUUAUUAAGGAUAAAAAUAAUUUUGCAAAGAUUUGCAGAAGCUGACAGACUAAGAAUUCUGUCAAGUAGAACCCAAGCAGAGAGUGGAGGAUUAGACCCCUCUAAUCCACUGGUUUUUUUUUAAAGCAGGGGUGUUUAAUACUCAACUAAAACCUUUGGAGAGUUUUAUUUUUAGUGGAUUUCCAUAUUAAGGUUUGCUCUAAGAAUUACACUUUAGGAAACAAACCACAGAAAUGUAUUUCUUGUUUGUAAGGUAUCAUCAUUAAAAGUCUUCCAUUCCCCAAAUAAAUAUUUUUUUACUUUAUGCCAUAUUUUAAUUUUUCUUAUAGUUUUCAUUGUAAACAUUAUACUUCACUGAGCUUUAAAAUUAAAAAAUAAUUAGAAAGGAAUCUAUGCAAAACAAUAAUUUGUGGAUGACAUUAUGUUUGAUAAGAGAUGAAGAAAAUGACUUUUUUACAAAUUAUUUCCAUGUCAACUUUGUACAUGAAACUUUCAGUUUGGAGAAAACCAGGCCAGUGGGGCUGUGUCUAUGUUGCCUUUUAAUGAAAUCAUUUAGGUUAUGAAAUAGAGAGAGCAACUCUCCAAACAUGGCAAUAUUUUGGCUGUUUGAACUUUCUAGUGGCAUAUUAUCUUAGUUACACUGUUAUGUGUGUCUGCCCUGAGAAAAAUUGUCAUUCCUUGGUCCAAAUGUCAUGCACUGACCCUUUUCUUGCUGCUGAGAGGUGGAUGGCCCUACAGCAGUCCUUGGUAUUCCUCUACUUCCCACUUAGUGCUCCUGUGGACCCAAAGCAUGAUUUCCUUCACAUUUUGAUUUUAAAAAUGUAUUUUUUUUCAUUUCAAAUUAUCUGUCCUAAUGUAGGAGUUGAUGCCACUGAGCUGCUGAAAAAAAAAACCAUGUUAUCUUUUUGAAACUAGUGUGGCCUGCAGGAUAAAUCCAUCAAAUGGCUACAACCUCUCCCUACACUGGGGAGCCAGACGAGUUCUGGAUCAGCUCAAAUGCCUGGGAUUUACCUGGCAUGCAGGACAGUCACAAGUUCUUUGCUGCAUUAGAUCCUCAAUCUUUUGUGAUGAGCUUCACAAAGAAAUCAGUUGGUAAUCAAAAUAAUAAUUUUUAAGCAGGGAAUUUUCUGUCCAGAGGCUACUAAUCUGACAAAACCAAGUCAGUAUUGGCGAAGUAUACUUUAUAUGCAAUUUCCAAAAUUUGCAGCAGUAAAUUUUUCUAAAAAAAAACCAACUAUUAGUUUCACUUUUUUUUUUUUUUUUUUGUAAAAUGGCAGAAUUUUUGACAAAAUUAUCGAAUUGAGGAAGCACUCCCAAUGCAUACCAGCAUUUCUUUCUUAGAUUUAUAUACAAAGCAGUGGUUUAGGUAAUUUCUGUAAGAAACUGGUAAAAGGUAGAAUAUAGAAGAAUAUUCUGUUCCCUUGGACUGUGUAUUCACACAACACUUCUGCAUCUUGCCAAGUUUGUGAGCUGCAAGAGCACAGCGUGUAGUGGCGAUGCUCUAACCCUUUUAGUGCCUUGCAUGCUACACACUGAGCUGAAUUUUACUUCCAAACAAAAUUUUGGCUGCAUUCCUUACUGAGCACACAUUGUUCUCGCUUUGACAGACCAUCCCAUUCUCUCGCUCAAAACAAUUUGAUGCAUUUUAAUUUUUUUUUUAAAACUUGUUCCUAGAUCGGUAUAAUUUAUAUAAUCAGCCACCAACUCCAACAAUGAAAAAGACAGUUCUUAUUUUCUUAAUUUAGGUCUUUAUGCUAAAAUCAUAUUUUCUGUACAUUUAAAAAAAAUACAUAAUUUGCAAUUAUGAAGAUAAUUUUAAAUACCUUUUAGAGCAAAAUUAAAUGUCUGUUAUAUAGUUUUUCUUUUUCUAACUUAACAUUUAAUUAAAUGCUAAGUUUGACACUGCAUAGUUUGGUGAGAAAUUCAGCACUGGAUUUCAGUGAAUAAAAAGAAUACUUAAUCAUAAGCAAUGCAGCAGUAUUCUAUGAUUCUAUAUUAUUAUAUAUUGUGUAAAUAUAACUGGCUUUGUAGUGCCUUUUAAACAGAUAUUUCCUCUGAUCCUCCCUGCCUUCAAACCUUCAGACUGACCACAAGUAAGUACAUGGAAUUUGAGUGGUAGUAUAAGUACUAAAUUGCUGAAAAUACUGCACCACCAAACCUAGAUUGUUAUAUAUUUAUAUGUAAGAGCAGAACUGAGAUUGCUAUUUUAAAGGAGUUCCUUCAAAUUUAUUUAAUUGGUUAAAAAAAAUAAAAAUUGGUCUUUACUGGAGCCUAAUGGGAUAAUAUGGCCUUAUAGUGAGGAGUACAUGUAGAAAACAAGGGGGAUUUUAGGCCUAACUGCAUUUUCUGUCAGACAAUAUCUUAACCUCAAAGGAUCAUCUGGUCAGCCUCUUCUAUGAUGUAGAGUUAACGAAAAAAAAAAGAGUGGUUACAUCUUUUGCAGCCACAAGAAGAAGACAAAGGUGGAUAGGGAAGCAGUGGAUAUACAAUAUAAUAACUUACAGCUGUUGUAUCAUCUGUCUGCUGGUAGGUAUGGUGAAAUAAAUAAAUGAUCAAAAAAAAUCUAAUUUAAAAAAACCCAACAAUGUCAGGAUGAGUUUUUGUAAAUAAGAACUUGCAAGACAAGUGAUAUGAAAGCAACAAGAUUAUUAAAAUGCAGUAUCUUAUUUAUUAUACAUUAGAUAGAUCAAAGCUCCUCAGAGAUAACAAGGCACUGAUUGGGAGUUGCCACCUGUUUGGUCUCGCUGGCUAUGGAAAUCUGUGAGGUGAAGCUGUGUUAAAAGUUGUGAGCACAUGGUACACUUAUGAAUGGCUUGGAUUGAUAAAAAACCCCAAAUUAUUCUUAUUUUGCUGAAAAGAUUUACUCAUUAUUCACUAGCACAUAUGUUAUUUUCUUAGUUAAGACAAAAAGAAUAUGCUGUGUAGUUCAGGAAGAUUUCAGAAACAAACAAACAAACAAACAAAAUUCCAGGCAAAUGCUUUUACUUGAUACACAUUAAUAUGGUGAGUAUUAAAAGACCUGAGGAGUAUAAAAUUAGAAUAUAUUUGAGCUGUUGUUUUGGAGAUUGCUGAGCCUUGCAGCAGGCUGAGCUCAGAGAAGUUUGUGGCAAGCAAAUUGUCAAAUAAUGAACAACGAGGCAGGAGGCAGUUUUCUAGAUGUUUUUUGGGUUGGUUGCCUUUUUUGUCUAACCUCUCCACAAAGAACAGAACAGCUGUGACUUAAGGAAGUGUUUGGGUAUAGAUGUCAAACAGUUAUUGGCAGGAUCUACUAAAGGGCAAGUUGAGGAAAGCUGAAAAUCUGCAAGAUGCAACAAUGGAAGGUAAGGCAAGACAGCAACAACCUUUGUCAGUGUCCUUGAAGUGUGCCACAGAACUGGCUGAGGAGAUGAGCAGAACUCCAGACUGGGGAUGUCAGAGCACCACUGGGCUCCCUUUAAAUGGCUGUUUGUAGGAGAUAAACUUAAUGCAUAACAGCAAGAAAAGGGGAGUCAGUAAGAGUAAGAAAGGUCUCUUUAAGUGAGUGGAAACUCAAUUUGAAUGGAUAAAAUUGGGGAAGGAGUUUCUAAGUACUUUAAAAGUCAUGUGUUCCAAAGUAAGAUUUGUUUGGGAGGUCUCUGGGUGUUCUAAACACACCCACCGACCAAAACCAAGUUGGCACUGACACGCGAGAAAUGAUUCCCCUUGGCUGACUCAAUUCAAAGCAGAGAAGACUACUGUGAGACCACAUGAUGUGGGCAUUCCCUCACGGUCGAGUUUGAUAAAGGAUUCACACUGACAGACUCUUUUCCACUCCUUAUUUCUAGAAUGGUGAACAAAUGCCCCAGAGCGAAGCAGCGCUGAGGGUUUUGCGCUCAAUUUUCUCGAGAGAACACCGUACAGAUACAGAUUUGCGUUCUGCUAGCGGCAAAUGUUGAUGCUACAAUAUUUUGGGCACUGAUGUGAAAAAACAUGAUACAGGAGAGGGAAUGCUGACAGCCACAUUCUGAUCCUUUUAGAGUACUAAAAACAAGAAGCAACUUUGCUGAAAUCAAUGAACAUUUCUCUCGAUCCAUGCAAGCUGCUUUAAAGGAAGAACUUAAUUUCGAUUUCCAAAUUUCUGGCAGCAAGUCUGAUGACACCCUAAACUGCUACCACCAUAACCUGUGAGUCCUCUGGUUCUUCUGCUCAUUUCAAGAUUGUUAAGAGUACAAUGAAAUAUUUAUUCCUUCUUCAGACUAGAAACAGGAGAAGAUAUAAUAGCAUAUGAAAACCAAAUGCAGAAACAUCUUUAAUGAACAGCUUCAGUAGCUUUUUCAAGGAUAUGGCUAAACAGAAAGUAUCUACAUAUAUUUGGGGAAACACAGCAUUUAACUGUUUUGGAUAAAUAAGAAACUGGCAGUUUCCUCUCAUUUGCCACACCACUGCUCAAGGGUCUGUCUGAGAAUUAAGUCUGGAAUGGAAAACAGAAGUCUGUCACAGAUCCUUCCUCUCUGCCUGUCACUUUUGCAAUAAACAAGGCUAUCAACCCCUUGCAAUUUAGGUUUGUGCAGAGCUAACUGGGUGACCACUGAACAGCCCUGUCAUCAAAGACUUUCUUUAGUGAGCACCCACUCUUCAUAUAGGGCUGUUCAGAGAAGGACUUGAUGUUGAAAAUGCCAUUGAUUGUAAUUUUUGCAGAUAAUCCCUGUAUGCUCUGUGCUGCUGCUGAAUGCAGCUGUACCUGGUGGGAUACACAGCCAUGAGCAGCUGGCUGCUCUUGAGAGCCAGUGGGCUCAGGGCUAAUCCUCACUUCUGCAGGACCUUGCCCUGUGAUAUAUUAUGUCAGAACAAGAAGGGACAAGGCUCUCUUCUACUCAAUAGGAAAAACCUUAGCAGCUAGCUGGAAUUCAGAGGGAUCCAGCAGCAAACAGUAAUUUACAAAUAUGGAACUGAUGUGUGUUAACAAACUGACAGUUGUAAAUUAAAGUUUGGUAGUUUCCCAAUACACAAAAGUUUAGAGUUUAUGGAAUUAAUUGAAAUAGAGGAAAUAAUCUGAGAGAACUGCCUCACAGAAAAUUUUUACUAAACACCAUUAUCAAGACAAUUAGAUUUUUACAGUUAAUUCUCCAGAUAAAAAGUGGUAUUUCUGACAAAGUCAGUGCCUGCCAACACUGAUGGACAAAGAAUUCAAGGGGUUUAAAUUAAUGGAGCCUGCUAGCAUGGAGACUUCUGUGGGAUCAAGAUCACCUCAACCUUCUUCAAGACAGAUUGGACACCUGGAUAAGAAAGGAAUAUUUUUUUUUUUUUACUUAAAACUCUCUGUUAAUCCAUGUGAAAGAGUAGAAUGUAAAAAGUAUCUCCUUUUGUGCAGAGGUACAGUGAGACAUCCAGUAACCAAGCAAUAAAGCUCCAAGCUGUAAUCUGGAAUUUGGCAAUGGAAAGACUAACAGUGCCUCCAACAACUUCUAAGUUCUUCUCACAUAUUUCAUAUUCUUUGCAAUAAAAUUUUUUGAGCUGUUGCAUUUUAUUUUAUGACUAUUGUUAAUACAGUGAACACAAUAUCUUUUAAUGAGGCAGUAAUGGCUGAGGCUGAAUUAGAUCACUGCUAAUCAGAGUGACUGAGUACCAAGUCAAAAUCUCUCAAGAGAAUCAGAAAAAAAUAUAGUUGUUUGGUGUUGGAAAAUGAGAUAAAUUAUCUUAAGGACAGGCUACACUAAAUGUGUAAGUAGGCAUAAAGUGCAUGGGAUAGCCAACAGAGGCAGCAAAACAUUGUGUAAAAUAAUAGAAACAUCAACAGAGAAGCACUGGUGUUUGAGAGAAAACAUCUAUUUUGAGCUUGGGAUUUAAUAACCACCCAAUGGCAAGUGCUAUAAACAGGAAAGAAAACUGUAAUUUACAAGUUUAGAAGUCAUCAGCAUAACUAAAUUAAACAAAAUUCUGAAAGGAGAGGUGAGAAAGUACAAUAAAGAGGGUGGUGGGCUGGAGGCAGAAUUUCCAGUGGGAAGACUGGCUCUGCAAAGGGAACAUAAGAAAGAAGAUACGGAAGAAGCAAACAGUAAAUUAUUACAAGGGAAAGCCUGACAGCAAGCCAAGAGAAGGCAUGAAAGGACAGCAGCAAGAUGGUUUGUUGAAAGUGGUGGAAUGACCUAGAAGAAAGUGAACACUGAAAAGAUUCUUGGAACUGGACGGCAGGAAAUUGUUAGUGACCUUAUUAAGAGCUGUUUUGAGGAGAAAAUGGAACAGAAGCUAGAAAUGACUGGGCAGGAAAAAAACCAUGGACUGGAAAAAGACACAAAUUCCAAGAAGGAGGGAAAUGUUCUGCAUAUUGAACAGAGAAAAGAUUUUGGGUUUUUUUAAUCAAGGGCAGUCCUGAACAGAAACUUCCAUGUAAGGAAAAAAGGACCAGAUAAGCUUCAAAGAAAAUGCAUCACUAGAAAUCUAAAGUCCUAAACAAGUCAUUUUGACAUCCUCCAAAUGUCUAAGGGACUGAAGAAGUUAAGCAAAUAGACUUUUCUCUAAUAUCCAGCUACUUGAUGUCCCAGGUGUCAUUCUUCUAAUUUCUUGUUGUGAAAUAUACCAUCUGUAACUCGCUAUUACUUCAAGGAAACUUGUUGCAAACAAGACUUUUCUCCUUCAAACAAAUAGUGCUUUUCAAUUAUAUUUCCCUCACUGUAACAAGCCUUUUUCUCUGAAUUCCUACUGCUGCACAGUACUAUGGCAGCAGCUUGAUUAAUAUGCUUUCGUUUGUUGGGG